ensembl:lncRNA
UAUGUGGAGCUGGGAGGACUCUUGUGGACCAGUGUCCUGAAGUUGGCUCUCCCACCUCAGAGGCACAGCACUGACUCCUGGCUGCAGCACCAAGAGCCUUUCAUCUACACAGCUCCUCAAUUUGGGAUGGUUCGUUGUCUAUUCAAGUAUUCCACAGAUGCAGGUACAUCAAGUUGAUUGUGGAGCUUUAAUGCACUGCUUCUGAGGAUGCUGGGAGAGAUUUCCCUUUCUCUUCUUUGUUCUCACAGCUUCCAGUGCUCAUCUUUGGAUUUGGCCCCGCCUCUGCGUGUAGGUCACCAGAGGGCGUCUCUUCUUCGCUCAGACUGGACGGGGUUAAAGGAGCAGCUGCUUUGGGGACUCUGGCUCACUCAGGCUGGGCGAAGGGAGGGGCAUGGAGUGCGGGGCGAGCCUUCGGCAGCUGAGUCUGGCGUGACAUUGCACCAGCCUGAGGCGCGCCGUGCGUUCUCCCGGGGAAGUUGUCCCUGGAUCCCGGGACCGUGGCAGUGGCGGGCUGCACAGGCUCCCCGGAAAGGGGAUGUGGAUAGUGACCUGUGCUUGCACACAGGCUUCCUGUGGCAGCAGCAGCAGCCUUAGUGUCUCAUGCCCCUCUUUGGGGUUCACACUUUUAGCCAUGGCUUGUGCCCGUCUCUGAAGCUCCUUUAAGCAGCGUUCUUAAUCCCCUCUCCUUGUGCACCAGGAAACAAAGAGGGAAGAAAAUGUCUCCCGCCUCUUCGGCAGGUCCAGACUUUUUCCCAGACUCCCUCCUGGCUAGCCGUGGUGCACUAACCCCCUGCAGGCUGUGUUCACGCCGCCCACCCCAGUCCUCUCCCUGUGCUCCAACCGAAGCCUCUGUAUCUUUUGAUGGAAGGGUUUGAUCCACUUAUAUUUAAAGUUAUUACUGACAGUGAUGUCAGCAUUCUCUCCCCUUUAAUUUAUAAUUAAUCAGACAUCCAUAACUAACCAAAAAAGAGUACCUCUGCACAUCAUACCAGGAAACCCAAGAGAUCAUCCAUAUGUGAACCCAAAUGUGGGUGGAUUGUACCACGGACGAAGCUGUGGAGCAAGAGGAGUUGCAGUGUAGCCAGCAGCAGCACAGAAGGCAGCAGCAGGUCCAGGGGUUGGUGGCACAACCUCUUUGGCAGAGUGAGUGAAGAACGGAAGCAGUGAAUGGUAUCUGUCCUGUUGCACAUCUGCAGCUAGAGGGAUCUGCUGCUCUCUGAGGAGAGACCUCAGUGACUGGGAGAGAAAGGAAAAGGAGGUAGUAGACAAAGAGAACUGAAGAAAAGUGUCUACUGCUGUCUGCCCCAGGAUUCUGGCAAGACAACCACCCACAAUCCUCUACAACCCUCCCACUUGAGGAUGCCCCUACUGAGCCAUGGGCACACGCAAAGCUGCAAGUGCUAAGUACAAACCUCCUGCCACUCUUCCACCGCCCCCCCCUUUUUUUUUUACCACCAGCAUUUUGUGUGUGUGUGUGUGCUUCCAGCCUUAGUGGCAGGUAGCUAUUAGUUUUGUAGACUUCUAUAUCCAGCUCCUUUUCCCAGGUUUGGGAAGUUCUCAGCUAUUAUUUCCUUAAAUAAACUGUCACCCUCUUCCCCUUCUCUUCUCCUUCUGGAAUAUCCUUAUUCUUUUGUUGGCUUUUUAAUGGAGUCUGAUUGCUCUCAUAGGAUUUUUUCACAUUUAAAAGAGUGAUUUCUCUAUCCUGAUUCAUUUCUAGUUUUCUAUUUUCCAGCUUACUGAUUCUCUCUUCCAUCUGAUCUGCUGUAUUUCUAAUGCAUUCUUCUUCGCACUUACCAAGUUCUUUAAUUCCAGAAUUUCUGCUUACUUCGUCUUUUAAAACUUUUAUUUGGUAAAGUACUCCUUCUGUUUAUUAAUUUUAUUCUUGAGAUCAUCAUAUUGCCUUUUACCAACCUCAUAUUGGUCAGAAUGGCCAUCAUCAAAAAGUUUACAAAUAAUAAAUGCUGGCAAGGGUGGGGAGAAAAGGGACCCUCCUAUACUGUUAAUGGUAAUGUAUAUUGGUACAACCACUAUAAAAAACAGUAUGAAGUUUCCUUAAAAAAGUAAAAAUAGACCUACCAUAAGAUCCAGUAACUCCACUCCUGGGCAUAUAUCUGGAAAACACAAAAACUAAUUUGAAAACAUACAUAUACUCCAGUGUUCACAGCAACACUAUUUCCAAUGUCCAAAACAUGGCAGCAACCUAAAUGUCCAUCAACAGAUGAAUGGAGAAAGAAGAUGCGGUGUGUGUAUGUGUGCGUGUGCGUGUGCGAAUUUAAUGGAAUAUUACUCAUACAUAAAAAGAAUAAUGCCAUCUGCAGCAACAUGAAUGGAUAUAGAGAUGAUUAUCGUGUUAAGUGAAGUAAGUCAAAGACAAACAUCAUAUGAUAUCAUUUGUGGAACCUUAAAAAAAUGGUAUAAAUUUAUAUAUAAAACAGAAAUAGACUCACAAACGUAGAAAACAAACUUAUGGUUACCAAAGGGGAUAGUGGGGAGUGGGGGGAGGUAAAUUAGGAGAUCAGGAUUAACACAUACACACUACUAUAUAUAAAAUGGAUUACCAACAAGGACCUACUGUAUAGCACAGGGAACUAUACUCAAUAUCUUAUAAUAACCUAUAAUAGAAAAGAAUCUGGAAAAGAAUAUAUGUAUUACAUAUAUAUAUAUAACGUAUUAACAUAUGUAUAACUGAGUCACUCUGCUAUACAUUUGAAACUAACACAACAUUGGAAAUUAACUAUACUUCAAUAAAAUAAUAAUUUAAAAAGAAGAUAUAUUACUGUAAAUAUACAGGCUCCCAACUCCCAAGCACCAAAAUAUAUUACGCAAAUAAUAACAGAUAUUAAGGGAGAAAUAGACAACAAUACAGUAAUUGUAGGGGACUUCAAUACCUCUCUGUCACCAAUGGAUAGAUCAUCUAGACAGAAAAUCAACAAGAAAAUACUUGAAUUGAACCACACUUUAGAACAAAUGGACUUAAUAGAUAUACAGAACAUUCUGUCCAACAGCACCAGGAUACACAUUCUUCUCAAAUGCACAUGGAACAUCCUCUAGGAUAAAUCAUAUGAUAGGCCACAAAAAAAAAAAUCUUUGCAAAUUUAAGAAGAUUGAAAUCAUCCAGCUAUCUUUUCUGACCACAAUAAUAUAAAACUAUAAAUGAGAAAAGUGAGAGUAUCUACAAAUAUGUGGAAACUAAAAACACACUUCUAAACAACCCUUGGGUCAACAAAGAAAUGAAACUGAAAAUGAAAAAUUAUUUUAAUACAAAUGAAAAUACAACAUACAAAAUAUUGUAGGAUGUAGCAAAAGCAGUUCUCAGAGGCAAGCCUGCAACAAAAGUUCAUACAGUAAGUGAUAAGCAAUAUCUCAGAUAAACAACCUAACCUUACACCUCAAGGGACUAGAAAAAGAACAAGUUAAGCCCAAAAUUAGCAGAAGGAGGAAAAUAAAAAAAGAAAAGGUAUAAAUGAGAUAGACACCAGAAAGAAAACAAUAGAAAGAAACAACAAAAGUAAGGUCGGUUCUUUGAAAAGAUAAAUAAAACUGACCAAACUUUAGCUGGACUAAUUGAUGAUGAAAUAGAGAAGACUAAAAAUUAGACACAAAACAGGAGACAUUACAACUGAUACUGCAGAAACACAUAGAAUCAUAAGAGACUACUAUGAACAAUUAUAUGCUAACAAAUUACAUAACCUAGAAGAAAUGUAUAUAUUUCUAGAACAUAUAACCUACCAAGACUGAAGAAAGAGAAAAUCUGAACAGACCAAUAAUGAGUAAAGAGAUUGAAUCAGUAAUCAAAAAUUCCCCACACAGAUAAUUCCAGAACCAAACAGCUUCACUAGAGAAUCUUAACAAACAUUUAGAGAAGAAUUAACACCAAUCCUCCUCAAAUUCUUCUAAAUUACUGAGAAGGGAACACUUCCAAACUCAUCCUACAAAGCCAACAUUAUGAUACCAAAACCGGAUAAGGAUACCACAAGAAAAGAAAACUACAGACGAAUAUCCCUGAUGUAUAUUGAUGCAUAAAUUCUCAAAAAAAAUUAGCAAACCAAAUUCAAGAACACUUUAAAAGGAUUAUGCACCAUGACCAAGUGGUAUUUAUCCCUGGGAUGCAAGGAUGAUUCAACAUAUGCAAAUCAAUAAGUACAUCACAUUAAUAAAAUGAAAGAUGAAAAUGAAGUAAUCAACUCACU